GCGGGAAUAGCUCAGUUGGUAGAGCACGACCUUGCCAAGGUCGGGGUCGCGAGUUCGAGCCUCGUUUUCCCGCUCCA
rnacentral:tRNA from 1 species